UCUAACUCUGGGCCAUAUGCGGGGGUAAUGCAGUGUGGUACAGCGUUAAGCGAAGUUACGGGUCAUGAAGCGUGUGUAGUGGGCGCGCUAAGUCGGUUGUGAAAUCCCUGGGCUCAACCUGGGAAUUGCUGUCGAUACUGAUGAGCGCGAGUUCGGUAGAGGGUGACGGAAUUCCCGGUGUAGCGGUGAAAUGCGUAGAUAUCGGGAGGAACAUCGAUGGCGAAGGCAAUCACCUGGGCCUGAACUGACACUGUGACACGAAAGCGUGGGUAGCAAACAGGAUUAGAUACCCGAGUAGUC
rnacentral:rRNA from 1 species